ACGCGAGGUCCCAAACUGCUCUAUUUAUCGCUCAUUAACCAUUGAUUUGAAACAAAAAAACUAAAGUGUUUUCUUUUUAGAACAUAUUAACGGAAAGGAUAAAUCUUUAAAAUUAAAAAAAAAAAGUAUAAAAUUCAAUAUAAAAUAAUCCUUUGAAAGAAAAAUCAGAAUUUGGGGCUAUUUUUUGACAUUUAUGACCUCAAAAAAGUAAUUUAUCAACGCAAAAUAUCUGAAAUUUUAGGUUUAUCCUUCCGAUAGUAAUAUAGAGAAAGGCCUCACCAAAUUUCAAACAAAUCGAUCAAUAACUUUUUGAGUUACAACACGAGCAGUUUUUAAAAAUACUUUUUAAAAAAAAUAUUUUU